UCAUCAACUUCUUUUAAUUUUGGAUAUGUACGACUGCUUAAUUUUCUUUCAAUAUUAAAUACAUAAGGACAUGUGCUACACGCGAAACGUAAUCCUGCCAAAGCUUCUUCCACUCGAAGCACAUUACCACACGUCGGACAAAACAUCAACAUCGUGUAUUCAGUUAUGAAUGAUUGGUCGAGUUUUAAAUGAAUUUUAUUUUAUUGAAUGAAACAAACAAAAUAAAAUUAAACUAUUAAAAAUAUAUAUUUUA